CUCCCCUGUCCGCCCAAGGCUCAACAACAAGUAUCAAUAGAGUAACAAUUUGCAUAAGCGGAAGCAUACACAAUGGCUUGCACGAGGGCAAGCAAUAGCCAAAGUGAAAGAAUUAAUAAUUCAACAUACAAGUAAUAUGACUAAAUUUAAAUCACAUACAUGCAUCCAACUAUAAUCAAUUUCUUUCACAUUUUUGCAUCAUUUCUUUUUACAUCUCAUUUCUCCCAAAAUAUAACUUUUGACAUUUAAAAUAAAUAUCCUUUACAUCAUUCAUUUAAAUAUGUUCAUAAUACUAAAAUCAUCAAAUACAAAAGAUG
rnacentral:lncRNA from 1 species